CGGGAACGUUCUGUGUUUGCUGGGUGUGCACAUUGAGAUGCCGAGCCUGUUUUCUGGUGACAUCUCCCUCAUGUGGUGGGUGAAGGGAAUGACCAGGUGGCAGAUAUUACAACUAUUAUAUAUUCAUAACCCAAUGGUUCAGCUACUAUGUUUUGGAUGUCAUAUAUUGUAAUGUCUCUUUAAAUUAGGCUAAAUGGAUCCUGAGAUGUGAACCUGACAAGAUUGAUUAUUAGAAGAACUUGGUCAUCAUAUCCUGAUGUAAAAUCAACCAACAUGGAAAAAGAAAAGGCAAAUCUACAAUCACCGCUGCAAUCAAAAACAUGGAAAAAGACAACAGUGAAAACAGCACUGACAUUAGCUGCAGUUGCUUCAGUAAUGCAUAUGGCAGGAACAACAGCAAUAGUAGAUACAAUAGCAGGAGCAGUUGCAGCAGCAAUUGCAGGAGCGGCGGCAGGAGCAGGAGUAGGAGUUUUGCGAUCC